rnacentral:rRNA from 1 species
UGGGGAAUAUUGCGCAAUGGGGGAAACCCUGACGCAGCAACGCCGCGUGAGUGAGGAAGGCCCUCGGGUCGUAAAGCUCUGUCAAAUGGGAAGAACGGUGCAUUGUCUAAUAGGCAGUGUAUUUGACGGUACCAUUAAAGGAAGCACCGGCUAACUUCGUGCCAGCAGCCGCGGUAAUACGAAGGGUGCAAGCGUUGUUCGGAUUUAUUGGGCGUAAAGCGCGCGCAGGCGGACAGUUAAGCCAGAUGUGAAAUCCCGGGGCUCAACCCCGGAACUGCGUCUGGAACUGGUUGUCUAGAAUCUCGGAGGGGGAAGGAGAAUUUCGCAUGUAGGGGUAAAAUCCGUAGAGAUGCGAAGGAAUACCAGAGGCGAAGGCGCCUUCCUGGACGAGUAUUGACGCUGAGGCGCGAAAGCGUGGGGAGCAAACAG